rnacentral:tRNA from 1 species
UCUAUUAUGGCAGAAUUAAUGCAAUGGAUUUAAACUCCAUAUAUAAUUAAAAAUUUUUUAGAA